rnacentral:rRNA from 1 species
CGCAGAAACCAGUGAGGAGCGACUGUUUACUAAAAACACAGGUCCGUGCGAAGUCGCAAGACGAUGUAUACGGACUGACGCCUGCCCGGUGCUGGAAGGUUAAGAGGACCCGUUAACCCGCAAGGGUGAAGCGGAGAAUUUAAGCCCCAGUAAACGGCGGUGGUAACUAUAACCAUCCUAAGGUAGCGAAAUUCCUUGUCGGGUAAGUUCCGACCUGCACGAAUGGCGUAACGACUUCUCAACUGUCUCAACCAUAGACUCGGCGAAAUUGCACUACGAGUAAAGAUGCUCGUUACGCGCGGCAGGACGAAAAGACCCCGGGACCUUCACUACAACUUGGUAUUGAUGUUCGGUACGGUUUGUGUAGGAUAGGUGGGAGACUGUGAAACCUCGACGCCAGUUGGGGCGGAGUCGUUGUUGAAAUACCACUCUGAUCGUAUUGGGCAUCUAACCUCGAACCCUGAAUCGGGUUUAGGGACAGUGCCUGGCGGGUAGUUUAACUGGGGCGGUUGCCUCCUAAAAUGUAACGGAGGCGCCCAAAGGUUCCCUCAACCUGGACGGCAAUCAGGUGGCGAGUGUAAAUGCACAAGGGAGCUUGACUGCGAGACUUACAAGUCAAGCAGGGACGAAAGUCGGGAUUAGUGAUCCGGCACCCCCGAGUGGAAGGGGUGUCGCUCAACGGAUAAAAGGUACCCCGGGGAUAACAGGCUGAUCUUCCCCAAGAGUCCAUAUCGACGGGAUGGUUUGGCACCUCGAUGUCGGCUCGUCGCAUCCUGGGGCUGGAGCAGGUCCCAAGGGUUGGGCUGUUCGCCCAUUAAAGCGGCACGCGAGCUGGGUUUAGAACGUCGUGAGACAGUUCGGUCUCUAUCCGCCGCGCGCGUCAGAAACUUGAGGAAACCUGUCCCUAGUACGAGAGGACCGGGACGGACGAACCUCUGGUGCACCAGUUGUCCCGCCAGGGGCACCGCUGGAUAGCCACGUUCGGUCAGGAUAACCGCUGAAAGCAUCUAAGCGGGAAACCUUCUCCAAGAUCAGGUUUCUCACCCACUUGGUGGGAUAAGGCCCCCCGCAGAACACGGGUUCAAUAGGUCAGACCUGGAAGCUCAGUAAUGGGUGUAGGGAACUGGUGCUAACCGGCCGAAAACUUACAACA